GAUGAACGCUGGCGGCGUGCCUAAUACUUGCAAGUCGAGCGAAUGGAUUAAGAGCUUGCUCUUAUGAAGUUAGCGGCGGACGGGUGAGUAACACGUGGGUAACCUGCCCAUAAGACUGGGAUAACUCCGGGAAACCGGGGCUAAUACCGGAUAACAUUUUGAACCGCAUGGUUCGAAAUUGAAAGGCGGCUUCGGCUGUCACUUAUGGAUGGACCCGCGUCGCAUUAGCUAGUUGGUGAGGUAACGGCUCACCAAGGCAACGAUGCGUAGCCGACCUGAGCGGGUGAUCGGCCACACUGGGACUGAGACACGGCCCAGACUCCUACGGGAGGCAGCAGUAGGGAAUCUUCCGCAAUGGACGAAAGUCUGACGGAGCAACGCCGCGUGAGUGAUGAAGGCUUUCGGGUCGUAAAACUCUGUUGUUAGGGAAGAACAAGUGCUAGUUGAAUAAGCUGACACCUUGACGGUACCUAACCAGAAAGCCACGGCUAACUACGUGCCAGCCGCCGCAGUAA
rnacentral:rRNA from 1 species